UGCAGUGCAAAAAUAAUUACUAAUAAUAUUGGAAAUUUACCAUUCAUGAAUGUUAGAAUUUUAUAAUCUGAUUUAGAUUUCGUUACUCAAUUUUGAGUGCUACUUGUACUAAGUGUAAAGCAACUUGAAACAACAAUUUUAGAGUGUAUUACGGAAUCCGACUUUCAUCUGACAUCAGUUUGUUUACAAGUUCAACACAUCGAGAACCUUGAGCGUUUUUUUUUUUUCGAAAUCUGAACUUGCAAUUAUCUCAACUUUUUCGCCCCAAAUCUGUCUAAAAAUGAGUGCUCCAAGUUUUCUCGAGUUGCUAAAAAAGUUUACGACAACGGUAAACAAAUGGCAUCGAGAUGCUGAAGAAGGAGUACGACGAGCUUAAGUCCUCGACGGACAUUGACAAGCGGUCCGCACUGCACCAAGCAUUCCGCGAUCUGCUUCUGGCCAAAACGGGCGACAUUCCGGCGAUCGAGAAAUUAAUCUCAUUUGCGGUUGCUGCCUGUCGGUCGGAACUAGGAAAUGACCGCUCCGAUGAUCCCGGUGGUGCUGUUGGGUGACAUUUUUUAAGCCGUCACGCUGGAUAAGUGCGAGGCGAUUUGCACCUGAGAACAAUGUCACGACCUGGAAGGAGGAUUUUUUCUUCACCGCUUUCAAGCACAACUUUCUGCGGACGUGCUACGAUUUGCUGAGGGGAUUUUCUUGGCCAAAUUCUUUCCGUUUAGCGGUUGAACCUAGGUGCUCCCAGUGGUCUCAAAUUGUUUAAAACAUUUACGACAACGGUAAACAAAUGCACCGAGGGAUCAGCAUCGAGCUGUUGAAGGAUUACAACGAGACGAAGUCCUCGACGGACAUUGACAGGCAUUUCGCACAGCACCAGGCGUUCGCGAUCUGCGACCGGCCGGGACAGACGGCAUUCCGGCGAUCGAAACAUUCAUCUCGCUUGCGGUUGCGGUCUGUCGGUCGGAAAUGACCCCUCCGACGAUCUCGAUGCUACUGCUGAGGAUCAUGUUUAAUGCCGUUACGCUGGACAAGUGCGGGUCGCGACCAGGGAGGAAUUUUUCUUCACAUAUAAUUUCGGAGUUUAAUCUGAAGAAGAUCAUCAAGUACGGGGUGGAGGAGAGUGAUUUGGGAGAUUCUGCGCGUUCGAUGACUGAUUGUGCGGAAUCGUCGUCUCGGUCGGUGUGAAAAACGAGAGAGAAUGGGAGACCAGUGAGGUACAGGAGGAUGGGGAUGUUCAGAUUAGUGGUGGCGCUGGGACGCAACAGCCGCAGCUGAAGAUCGACUACAAUUUAAAUUGCAAGCUUUGGGCGCUGCAAGACUUUUCCGUUAACCCAUACCAGAGCUGAUGAUCCUUCACCUGUCUCCUCGUCAGUCAAGUUCAAGUCGGACAGUCACUGCCUUACCGUGGCUCAGGUUUAUUGGCUGAAGGAAACUAAAACGACGGUAACCAAACUGAUUGAGGAAUCUCCGCCAGGGAAAAAAAUCUGUCCAGUGAGGAACCGCAGCAGCGGCAAUCUCUGAAAUGGCAACCGAGGACCAGCCGGUGGUUUGAAUUUUUUAGAUUGUUUGAGACUAUUUUAAAAAUAUAUCAAUUUUAGGAUCGACAAAAUUGGUUUAUGUUUAUGCUUCUUUUUAGAAUCGACAGAAUUUCUAAUCGUCGCUCCAUCAAACUCCUUGCACAUUAAAUAGCUAUCAGAUGCUAUCAACGGAACUACCCGGCCGGUGGUCAUCUUCAAAUUGACGUCGGAAUGUUCCGAUCAUAUCCAGUCGCCGGUUCGCCAUACCAAAAGUCAGCGAUGCCGGUGGUGACCGAGCUAAAAAUUAAUUCAAUUCAAUCAGCUGAUUUUUGUAAUGAUUACUUUUUGAUAAUGUGAAUUAUUACAUUUUUAAUACACGCAUAUUUAGAUAUUUAGGUAUAUACAUUAAAAAAUAUUGCUUAUUUUAAAUGCAAAAAAAAAAUCGAAACACAAAUUCCAUUGUUCACAUAUAAGAUAAUCAUUGUAAAUUCAUUGUUGAAUAUGUAAUGUUCUGUACUAUCAAAUAACAAAUAAAUCCAUUGUACUCCAAUCGAGAAAAAAAUGUUUAUUCGCUUAAUAUUCCUGACACAGGUCUUUUAAUAUAUUUUUCUUAGAAAAAACUAAGUCGAAUAUUUCCAACAGCACCAUUCGACAAAUAAUUAUUAAGGAUAUCCCGCAUAAACGAGAACUUUAAAAAAACUUUUUGUUAAAUGGUUUUCUCACCAUUUCAGAGAUCGUAACCACUAUUUGAAAAAGGGUAGGAAAACCUUAAAAAUACCAUAUCGGAAAUGGUACCCUACCAUUUUUCAUAAAGUUCGACCAUCUGAAUUGAGGGUGGUUAGCAACGCCCGCAUAGAAAAAAACCGUUUGGAAAUCAUUUGUUAAAUAUUCAAUCAACAUUUUGACAAAUUGUAUAGCCACUAUUUGGUAAAUCAUUUUUUUAAUUCCUCACCGUCUCUCAAAUAGUGAACUAUUCCCCAUAUAUGUUGUUAGCAAUAUUCACUAUUUGAUUUUUUCUUCUAGCGACACUUAGUCAAAUGCUUUUUGAAAGUUCAUUUUUGCGUAUAUAUUUUAGGGAUUUCACCAUUUCUCAAAUGGUAUUUUUAUGGUUUUAAAUAGUUAUUUCAGUGAUUUUUCAUGGCGCAUUACAUUUUGAGAAAUAGUUGUAACAAUUCGAAUGAACAUCAAUUUUUCAAGGAUUUUCGGAAUUUUGAGCUAGAAACAUUUAUUUUGCUUUGGUCAAAUAGCUUAUUUAUUUUUUUAUUUCACAAAAACACAAAAAAUUCCACCAAAAAUCUUAGGAUUAAGUUAUACAGAGGAAAAAAAAAUCACAGAUCAAGGAGGCAUCCAAUGUGGUAGAAAGUUGACUGAAUAUCAGCUCCAUCUCCGCCAUCCUGUGGAAAUCGUCGGUCGGAUGGAUGGGUUCCAAGUUUAACGUAACUUCAGCAGCCGCUUCUGAAGGAAAACGAAGCAGUCGUGCAACGCCGGGCUAUCGAGAGUUCACCUGGUGAUCUUGUUGCUCUUGGUUUAAACCUGAAAAAAGAAAACAAACUACACAGUAUCUAGCUUACUACAUUUAAUGUUAACUUAUCUGAUUUGUCCAUUAGGUUGCUGGUAAUAUUCUUCAAUACGUUAUACGUUAUCCUAGACUAGAAGUUUAU